AUUGAACGCUGGCGGGGUGCUUUACACAUGCAAGUCGGACGAGUGGAGAACGGGUGAGUAACGCAUCAGAACGUACCGAGUAAUGGGGGCUAACUGUCAGAAAGGACAGCUAAUACCGCAUACUAUUAGAGCGGCCGAUGUCUGAUUAUCUGGCUGGCGGGGUAAAGGCCCACCAAGGCGACGAUCAGUAGCGGGUCGGAGAGGAUGCUCCUCCACCCUGGGACUUGUACACGGCCCAGACUCCUACGGGAGUCAGCAGUGGGGAAUUUUGGACAAUGGGCGCAAGCCUGAUCCAGCCAUGCCGCGUGUCUGAAGAAGGCCUUCGGGUUGUAAAGGACUUUUGUCAGAGAAGCGGUACCUGAAGAAUAAGCACCGGCUAACUACGUGCCAGCAGCCGCGGUAAUUC
rnacentral:rRNA from 1 species